CUCACAUCAGGUAUAUAAAAGCCACUGCCAGCAGCUGUGACCAUGGGCAGCUCCACUGUGACAUCAAAGGGUCCAGGAGGGACGAGGCGGAGUUUCCGUCUGGGACACAGGCUGUGAAGGCAGGUGCUCCCGGAGCUGGGACCCAUGGCAGUGCUGCAGCAGGACCCUCUUCUCCUUUCUUUGCAAACACCUUUCUGUGCAUAAACAAACACUUUCCAGCCUGCAUUGUCACCCCGAGAAGCCGAGUUUGGGCAGGAACAGGAGGUCCUUGAAGAUGCUGGGUCAGGAGAUGCCACACUUCUGGUGUCUCAUCCUUCUCGGGGGCCUCCUGCCCUCCUCCCAGGGCCUCCUCAACCUGCUGAACCCAAAGCAAGCCACAGGUGGUCUGCUUGGUACUGGUCUCAUGGGUGGAAAAGGCGGAUUGCUUGGCACAGGUGUUCUUGGUGAAGGUGGGCUGCUUGGCACUGGCCUCCUGGGCAAGGGAAGUCCAAGUGGAGCAGAAAGCGGAGCUCCCCUUGAAGCAGGAAAUGAACCCAGCAAAUCUGGGGUCCUUGGCACAGGCCUCCUAGGAGGACAACCUGGCAGCAG